CUGUGUCAACUAAAGCAUCACACCUUUGCAAAGAAUUUUCUAGUUGUUUUUGAAUCUUUUUAUUUCCUCGCUCGCACUUAUACUUCUAUUGGUUUAAUGCAGUUCUGAAACCAAAGGUAACAGAUGUUCAGCAGCAUGAUUUUAUAAGGGGCAUUUUCUCUGGUUUUGGGAAAGAUUCUGCUAUAGUCGGUGGAUGGCUUUUUGUGGCUAAUUUAAAGAUACACUGAUGUUUCUUUGGUUUGGUCCUUAACAUUUACAAGCUUUAAAUACUGGAACCGCACAGGUGCCAUAUCUCUUUGGUAUCCCUGCUGAUUGUAUUUGUCUCUCAAUCCGUAUACUUCCAAUCUUAUCAAAAGGUUUUUUAAAUAUUGAUAUCCUUUUCUAAGCAAUUUUAUGGAUAUGUGACAAAAUUAGAUUAUGUGACACUACGACAUGGUUUCAUCAUGACCCAUUGCAAGUACAUGAUUCGCCCCCUUGAAGAUGAUUUCAAGCAAGUUGUUGGUAUAAGGAUUAAAUGGAGAGGAAGUUGCAGAUGUUGAAGGAACAAAGGCUGUUCUGGUGAUUGCAGAAGAUGGUGUUAACGCUGCCGAAAGAGCUUGAAAUGAUGCUAAAGCAUAGAACU